rnacentral:rRNA from 1 species
GCUUGCUACCUGACCUAGCGGCGGACGGGUGAGUAAUGCUUAGGAAUCUGCCUAUUAGUGGGGGACAACAUUCCGAAAGGAAUGCUAAUACCGCAUACGCCCUACGGGGGAAAGCAGGGGAUCUUCGGACCUUGCGCUAAUAGAUGAGCCUAAGUCAGAUUAGCUAGUUGGUGGGGUAAAGGCCUACCAAGGCGACGAUCUGUAGCGGGUCUGAGAGGAUGAUCCGCCACACUGGGACUGAGACACGGCCCAGACUCCUACGGGAGGCAGCAGUGGGGAAUAUUGGACAAUGGGCGAAAGCCUGAUCCAGCCAUGCCGCGUGUGUGAAGAAGGCCUUUUGGUUGUAAAGCACUUUAAGCGAGGAGGAGGCUACUUGGAUUAAUACUCUAGGAUAGUGGACGUUACUCGCAGAAUAAGCACCGGCUAACUCUGUGCCAGCAGCCGCGGUAAUACAGAGGGUGCGAGCGUUAAUCGGAUUUACUGGGCGUAAAGCGUGCGUAGGCGGCUUUUUAAGUCGGAUGUGAAAUCCCUGAGCUUAACUUAGGAAUUGCAUUCGAUACUGGGAAGCUAGAGUAUGGGAGAGGAUGGUAGAAUUCCAGGUGUAGCGGUGAAAUGCGUAGAGAUCUGGAGGAAUACCGAUGGCGAAGGCAGCCAUCUGGCCUAAUACUGACGCUGAGGUACGAAAGCAUGGGGAGCAAACAGGAUUAGAUACCCUGGUAGUCCAUGCCGUAAACGAUGUCUACUAGCCGUUGGGGCCUUUGAGGCUUUAGUGGCGCAGCUAACGCGAUAAGUAGACCGCCUGGGGAGUACGGUCGCAAGACUAAAACUCAAAUGAAUUGACGGGGGCCCGCACAAGCGGUGGAGCAUGUGGUUUAAUUCGAUGCAACGCGAAGAACCUUACCUGGUCUUGACAUAGUAAGAACUUUCCAGAGAUGGAUUGGUGCCUUCGGGAACUUACAUACAGGUGCUGCAUGGCCGUCGUCAGCUCGUGUCGUGAGAUGUUGGGUUAAGUCCCGCAACGAGCGCAACCCUUUUCCUUAUUUGCCAGCGAGUAAUGUCGGGAACUUUAAGGAUACUGCCAGUGACAAACUGGAGGAAGGCGGGGACGACGUCAAGUCAUCAUGGCCCUUACGACCAGGGCUACACACGUGCUACAAUGGUCGGUACAAAGGGUUGCUACCUAGCGAUAGGAUGCUAAUCUCAAAAAGCCGAUCGUAGUCCGGAUUGGAGUCUGCAACUCGACUCCAUGAAGUCG